rfam:Rattus norvegicus chromosome 1, whole genome shotgun sequence.
GGAAUUUAGCUCAGUGGUAGAGCGCUUGCCUAGCAAGCACAAGGCCCUGGGUUCAGUCCCCAGCUCCG